AUGAACGCUGGCGGCGUGCCUAAUACAUGCAAGUCGAGCGAACGGACGAGAAGCUUGCUUCUCUGAUGUUAGCGGCGGACGGGUGAGUAACACGUGGAUAACCUACCUAUAAGACUGGGAUAACUUCGGGAAACCGGAGCUAAUACCGGAUAAUAUUUUGAACCGCAUGGUUCAAAAGUGAAAGACGGUCUUGCUGUCACUUAUAGAUGGAUCCGCGCUGCAUUAGCUAAUUGGUAAGGUAACGGCUUACCAAGGCAACGAUGCAUAGCCGACCUGAGAGGGUGAUCGGCCACACUGGAACUGAGACACGGUCCAGACUCCUACGGGAGGCAGCAGUAGGGAAUCUUCCGCAAUGGGCGAAAGCCUGACGGAGCAACGCCGCGUGAGUGAUGAAGGUCUUCGGAUCGUAAAACUCUGUUAUUAGGGAAGAACAUAUGUGUAAGUAACUGUGCACAUCUUGACGGUACCUAAUCAGAAAGCCACGGCUAACUACGUG
rnacentral:rRNA from 1 species